rnacentral:lncRNA from 1 species
CCCACUCGCCUUGCCCUGCUUUUAUUGUGCAUUCCCAGCAGUUCCUGAGGAACCCAGCCUAGGAGAUUUAUUUUGGCUCUGCCUUUGGAGCUGUCUUGCCCCAGCAAGGACUGAAAUCAGCCUGAGGGGCAGAGCCAGGGAUGUGAGAGAGCUGGAAUGGAUCAUUACUGCCUAACCACCCAGGCCCAAAUUCAUUGGCAGUGUUGUGCCAAGAACUCACCUUGGAAAUCAUGGUGACACUUUACCUGCACCCUGGGAAUGCAGGGAACCAGGUCAUGGAGCCCAGGGCCCUCUUGAAUAAAUGCUGCACCAGAUGAAUUAAAAAAUCA